UAUGACUUAGGAGAUCUGGAUUCAGGUCUAGCUCUGCCACAUACUUUCUGUGUUGACCUUGGGUAAGUCACUUAGCCUUUCUGUGCCUCAGUUCCCCAUCAGUACAAUGAAGAUAAUAGCACUGUCCUAUCUCACAGGGUGUUGUAAG